rnacentral:rRNA from 1 species
AGUAGUGUAUGCUUCUCCUAAAGACUAAGCCAUGCAUGCCUUCGAAUACGAGGAAGCAAUUCUCUCUGAAUCUGCGAACGGCUCCGCAAACCAGUUGUAAACUAUAGCAAGCAAUCCGGGGGGCAGCCGUCAAAAGCGGCCCCUCGGUAAUAAGGAUAACCAUGGUAAUUCUGAGGCUAAUACAAGAACGUAAUCCCCGGCUAACCCGCGAGGGAAGGCUGGGAGGCGUGCGAGUUAUACGCGGAGGUUUUACCGGGAAAGGACGCAUGCCUGGACCGCGCCAAAGACGGAUGGGACCCAUCAACCCUCACGGGUCGGGACCUGCCCGAGCGGCUCUUGCAAUGUGCUUCUGACCUAUCAACUAGAUGGCAGCGUAAAGGACAUGCUAUGGUGACAACGGGUACAGAGGAUUAGGGUUCGAUCCUGGAGAGUGGGCCUGAGAGAUUGCUCAUACUUCUAAGGAAGGCAGCAGGCGCGCAACGUUCCCCUUGGGCAAUGCUUGAGGGCGUUAGGGGACAUAUGAAUGCCUGCCUUAUAGGUGGGCAAUUCAAAUGGGUCUG